rnacentral:lncRNA from 1 species
GAUGAACUAUGAUGAUGGGAGAUGGUCAAUGUUUGAUGAUGAGAUUACUUGUUUUAUGUUGAUAAGGAGUAUGUAUUCGUUUAGCUUUCGAUUCAACGGAACAUAGAAGUGAAUUAUUGCUAGGAAUCACACCUUGUGCUUUGCUUUGGUUGAAUGUUUUGCAUUUUAAAUUUGGAAUUUAUUUGUGCUCAAUCAUGCUUUGUUCGGUUUUAAAUCUCACCUUAGGACAUUUAUGAUACGAAGUGUUGAUAGUAAGUGAUUUGGGAUAUGAUUUAGGCCUUCUUUGAACCGUUUGAGCCUUUCAAGCCCACCCUUUUUGUUUAAUUUAUCCUUAGAACCUUGAUUUGAGCCUCGGAGAAAAGGUGUUCUUUCUUUUAGCCAAUAUGUAGAAGGUAGAAAAAGUGGAGAUUUUUGAAUAAUUAUCCCUUGGAGGUCGAUCGAAAAUUCUUAUAAGAUCUUUCUUCUUCUUC